UUUUUCCACUACAUUAGCCUUCAGAUUUUUCUUGGAUUUGCUUUCUGCACUAAUGUUUUCAGUACCAUCCUUCUUCCGCGAUGCUGCUGCAUGCCAGGAUUCGCAGUGGCACCGCCGCAGCCAGCGAGGACACAAGCUCACGAGGAUUGUUGCCGCUUCGGAGGACAUGGGAGCUGCCAUAGCCAGCGAGUACGUGAGCGCACGUAGGCACCAUCGCUUUCGAGGAUGCGAGAGCCAUCUCAGCUUGAGAGAAUGCGCAUACCAUCUCCAGUGUGUGCAACAAGUGUUCCUCUAAACGUCUGAGCGUAAAGACUACUCAUGGGUGAUGCUUCUGUGACCAGACCUCUAUAAAAUCACAAGAUAGUUUCAGUGUUGUUGUUCUCAAUCAUGUUACCCUUAAGUGCAAGACAUCAAUUUG